CCGCCCCGGCCGUGGCGGGCACCCGAGAGGCCGGGCACCCGAGAGGCCGGGCCCUCGCGCGCCACCCGCGCCUCCACCCCGGGCUCUCACCGCUCUCUGGCCGCCCCGCGCCCUGGGCUUAGCCGACCUGGCUUUGUCUGCUCCGUUAACUGGAGAUCGGGCCCCGCCGGGCUGCGGGGUCUCUCCAUCAGCGCGAGGGGUGCCGGUGGCGAGUCCUACCCUAGAGGCGCUGCCAGGAGGGUCAGAUUGAAGGAAAACGGUCCACUCAGUGAAGGAGGAGGAGGAGAGACAGUGAUGAAGGCGCCGGUUACGCGGAGUGAAAAACCCGAGAGGCGGAGAGGAGCGCUGGCACUCGCAGCUGGGGAGGCUGGACAGCGGGCCCAGCUCCCCCCAUCGCGUCUCCCCGGGAUCCUCAGCCAGCGGACUCGGAGGCUCCGUGGACCACAGCAGGGCGUGCAUCUCUGUGUGUGGGGCGGAGCUCUUUCUCCCUUUGCAAAGGUGUAACAGUAAACAUUGGUGUAACAGUAAACAUAGGUGUAACAGUAAACAUAGGCACAGUAAACCACACUCCCCCUUUAAGUUUAAAAUGUGAUACCUCCUGACAAACGUGGGACCACCUCCUCCAUCAAAACAUGUCCAUCGCUCUGGAAAGUUCCCUUCUGCCCUUUGUGGUCACUCCCCUCCCCCGCCCCAGCCACGAGCACCCACAGAUCUAAUUUAUGUUCCUGUUUUGCCUUUUCCAGAAAGUCAUAAAAACGAAGCUGUACAGGACAUGGCCCUCUGUGUCUGGCUUUUUACACAUAGAAUAACACCUUUGAGACGGGCCCACGCUGUUGUAUGCCUCUGUGCUUUGUGCCUCUUUAUUGCCGAGUAUUCUGGUGUAUGCAGAGGCUGCAGUUUUGAUCCCUCCACCCUUGAUGGACUUGGUGAUUAUAAAUGAAGCUCCAUUUAAGUCAUUGUUUAGAUGUGUUUUCUUCUUUCAGGUAAAUACCUAGGACUGGGGUUGCUGAGUCCUGUAACGUGUACGCCGAAAAAGAAACAGCCAGACUGUUUUUCAAAGUGGCUGAGCCAUUUUGCAUUCCCAGCAGGAAUGCUUAAAGGUCAGCUGCAGGUGAGUAUAAUAAAAAACAUCGGAAAAUAACA
rnacentral:lncRNA from 1 species